rnacentral:tRNA from 2 species
GCAGCGUUGGUCUAAUGGUAAGAUAAUUGCCUUCCAAGCAAUAGACUCGGGUUCGAUUCCCGGACGUUGCA